UACGGGGGGUGCGAGCGUUGUCCGGAAUCACUGGGCGUAAAGGGCGCGUAGGUGGUUUGAUAAGGGUGUGGUGAAAGCCCGGGGCUCAACCCCGGGUCUGCCGUGCCGACUGUCAAACUCGAGGGCUGUAGAGGCAGACGGAAUUCCGGGUGUAGCGGUGGAAUGCGUAGAGAUCCGGAAGAAGACCGGUGGCGAAGGCGGCCUGCUGGGCAGUUGCUGACACUGAGGCGCGACAGCGUGGGGAGCAAACAGG
rnacentral:rRNA from 1 species